rnacentral:rRNA from 1 species
AAUCUUCGGCAAUGGACGAAAGUCUGACCGAGCGAUGCCGCGUGCGGGAUGAAGGCCCUCGGGUUGUAAACCGCUGUCAGUUGGGAGGAAGGCUCCGUGAAGAGCGGAGUUUGACCUAUCUUCAGAGGAAGUACGGGCUAAGUUCGUGCCAGCAGCCGCGGUAACACGAACCGUACGAACGUUAUUCGGAAUUAUUGGGCUUAAAGGGUGCGUAGGCGGCGUUGUAGGUGGGGAGUGAAAGCCCUCGGCUCAACCGAGGAAUUGCGCCCCAAACCACAGUGCUAGAGGGAGACAGAGGUAAGCGGAACUGAUGGUGGAGCGGUGAAAUGCGUUGAUAUUAUCAGGAACACCGGUGGCGAAAGCGGCUUACUGGGUCUCUUCUGACGCUGAGGCACGAAAGCUAGGGUAGCGAACGGGAUUAGAUACCCCGGUAGUCCUAGCUGUA